rnacentral:lncRNA from 1 species
CCUCUCUCUGUGUAACAGCAUUUAUCCCUCUCUAAGCUUAAAUAUGCUUUGCUCGUUCGAUAAAAAUAUAAUGUUAUAGGCUCUAAAUACUACCAAGCAUAGUUUAAAACUAAUUCAUCUAUCUCAUGUUUACGUUGGAAUCUCCAAUCCACCCAAAUGAAUGCUAACAUUGAUAAAUAAAAGAUUUGCUGCUUAAUUUUUGCAAUUUUUAUGUGUAGCACAUUAAAACACACAUGCAUGCACUUGCAAAACAUUCAAAAAAGGGAAAAUUAUAUGGACUCCUUUCCAUAUAAUUCAAACAUGAAUCCACUAUAUUGACCAACAAAAAUGAUGCUGAAAUGUAGAUGCUGUCAAGCCAAAAGUAUAAAAGGAUCUAAAUGAGCUGUGACCUUAAAUGAAGGUGACUA